GAUAACUGGCUUGUGGCAGCCAAGCGUUCAUAGCCACGUCACUUUAUCAUCCUUCAAUGUCGGCUCUUCCUAUCAUGGUGAAGCAGAAUUCACCAGGCGUUGGAUUGUUCACCCACUAAUAGGGAACGUGAGCUGGGUUUAGAUCAUCGUGAGACAGGUC
rnacentral:ncRNA from 1 species